UCUGGGUGGAUCGAGUUUUGCUUUGGAAUUCCAAAGCCUUUCCCUGUGCCGGGUUCCGAGGCAAAGACUGCUUUAGCUUGGGGUUUUUUUGGUGCUGCGUUAAUGCUUUUUGCUCGUUCUGUGUCAAUUUGCAGCCUGGCUCGUGGUUUCCCCUGGUGCUGGGGAGUGGAGGCGAGUUGUGCUUCCUGCUGGGAGAGAGAAGGGCCUUGGGAAGCUGCUCCAUGAGCCACAGCUGUGCCGAGCCCGGGAGUCUGUCCAGCAGGAUGUGGAGUGCCACCAUGUCCCCGAGGUCACCCUUUCUGCUGCUGGGAGAGCAUGAGGUGGAUGGAGAGGAUCCCCAGGCAUCUGCAGGCAAAAGGGACUGGCACAACUGUGAUUUUUCUCCAGCUCUCUUAAGGUGGACUUUCAGGGUACCAUGGGUAAUGUGCCAGCUCUCCUGCUGGAGUUCUUGUCUUCUGCUAUAUUUGAACAUCAAGAGUAAAACUACAGUCAGGACGUGAAUGCAAGAACCUGCCAAGGAACCAAUGGCCAAGAUGAUUGAUGAGUGCAGGACCUGAGAGAACCACCUUGAAUGACAAUCUCCAGGAGUUUCCAGUAUUGGAUUUAAAAGAUGGCCUUUGCUGCAUCUCCUUGAGCAAGGAAAGCCAAGAAACCUUUGCCUUUG